rnacentral:rRNA from 1 species
AACGAACGCUGGCGGCAUGCCUAACACAUGCAAGUCGAACGAGACCUUCGGGUCUAGUGGCGCACGGGUGCGUAACGCGUGGGAACCUGCCCUUAGGUUCGGAAUAACUCCCCGAAAGGGGUGCUAAUACCGGAUAAUGUCUUCGGACCAAAGAUUUAUCGCCUUUGGAUGGGCCCGCGUUGGAUUAGCUAGUUGGUAGGGUAAAAGCCUACCAAGGCGACGAUCCAUAGCUGGUCUGAGAGGAUGAUCAGCCACACUGGGACUGAGACACGACCCAGACUCCUACGGGAGGCAGCAGUGGGGAAUAUUGGACAAUGGGCGAAAGCCUGAUCCAGCAAUGCCGCGUGAGUGAUGAAGGCCUUAGGGUUGUAAAGCUCUUUUACCCGGGAUGAUAAUGACAGUACCGGGAGAAUAAGCUCCGGCUAACUCCGUA